AUGAUUCUGCUGUAUUGCAUGAUGCCCUAUCUCGUCCAAACGGUCUCAAAAUUCCAGAAGGAAAAUUUUAUUUGGCUGAUGCAGGGUAUGCCACCAGGCCGGCAUAUUGCCACCCUAUCGAGGUGUUCGCUAUCAUCUACAGGAGUUCCAUGGUCCGAAUCGUCCAACCUCUCCAAAAGAGUUGUUCAACCACCGUCAUUCCUCACUAAGGACAACGGUCGAGGUGGUUAUUCCUUGUUGCGUCAUUCACAACUGGAUUCUAGACAAUGGACCCGAUGA
rnacentral:rRNA from 1 species